UCAAAAACCACAUGCAACUCAUCAAAGAAAACUAAAUAUUACAAGAUAUGAAAGAGAAAAUAAUUAUAACUUGCCUUGAUAAUAAAUUCACAUAUCAAUAUAUUAUAUUUGAGCAAAUAUAAGGUGAAACGAGAGUAGAUGGUAGGAGGCGGAGAAUGUAUCGUAUAAAAUGACGAAAAAAUAGUAAUAAAAAGUGUUUUAAAAAAUCUACUAAACCUUACAAAGAUAAUGCACAUGACUAAAUAAUUUUUUUUUUUUUUUUCAUAAUUCAUUCAUUAUGUGAAACGAAUGAGUUUUAAAAAUAUACAUUACAUAGAUUAGUAGACUAAUUGAAAGAUUCAUCAUCGGGUUUAAUUGUUUAGCCUCAUGUAAGUGAUGUAUCAUAGAUUUUAAUGUUUUUAGCCAUGAUAUAUGUGUCAGUUUUAAAAACUUUUUGUUGUUUUUAUAGUCUUUUCUACUCUUUUAAGGUUUUUACACGUUCAAGACAAAUUUGGAGAUAAGAAAUCAUUCUUGAGCUAAACCAGAGAUUAAGAGCUGAAGAAACGAAUUCGGUGUCAGACGACCAAGGCAUGAAUGUCUCAUACCUGCUGAUCACUCUGCUUCUAGCGGAUCUUUCUAAGCGAAUCCCUGAAGGCAUAUUGGUGAAUGUUUAAUUUAGGGUUCUUAAGGAUGGGUUACAUUAGGGUGGAAUCUUUAAUUUGUCAGGUGGUUAAGUUUAGAUUAUUUAAAUCCUUUCUGGAUUAGUAGUACUUAAUGCUAAUUCUCAUCUAAUCGAGUAGAAUAUGAGCCUUGGCAUUUCUACACCUAGAAGGUGUUUAAUGAAAUGUAUGAACCACUAAUUCCAGAGAUUUGCGUCUCUAUCCCAAGGGAUUGGCCGUUUAGAACGCUUAUUGGCUUUAACAUGUUGAUUCUUAACGUCUGCUUUGUUAGAUUUCGUCAAUAGGAAUCGAUUCUAGAAUUAGCUUUGCUUGAAGGUUUUUAUUACGGAAGUGGGGAUUGAUAUGUUGUUUAACAUGUUGUCUAGGGAUAGCUUGAUUAAGUUUGUUAACCACCUGAUAGGUUAAGGAGACCAUUUUAUUCGAUUACCCCAUCCUUAAGAAUUUCUCAUCCAUUUGAAUCUAUGUUUACUUACUUGUUAUUUGCUUGUUCUAUUGCAUGUUGCUAAGUUCUGACAUUUCUACCUGUUUUUUCACAUCAAUCUUUAUCACACCUUCCAUCUAGCAACAAACUGUGUCAAUAGAGUAUAGAGUCAAUUUCUGUAAUUUUAUAGUUUUCUGCAUGGUAUACUCGAUCACACACUGCCUCUGACAUUGAGUUGUGCGAUCGAGUACAUAGUAGUAUCCUUAUAGUUUUAUUGCUUUGUGCAUGAUCACUUAGGACUAUUAGAAAACCAAACCUGUUUUGUUUGGUUUGACUUAGUGACAUCUUAUCAUAUCUUGAUUGAUAACAUCACUCCUGAAGGGAUUGACACCUUAAGUACUGCAAUGACAUGAUAGUAAUAUAGGAUAAUUGAGACUAGUAAAAAAUCUUACUAUCAGUAGUAAAUUAAGAUCAUUACUUAGUGGGUCUAACCACAAACCAAACAAACCUCUAGAAUCUUUGAUAGGUUGUCCUCUUCUAUUGAAAUCAACCAUAACCUGCCGAUUUAGCAUGCUCCACACUUCUUUUCCUGAAAUCAUUUUCUCUGUAAUGUUUCUCUCACCAUUUAAAUCACAAAAACAUGACGUUUCAGAGAGAAGGUGGAGCUAAGGAAUCUUCAUUUCCAACACAUCAAGGAAAAUGAAGACUAUAAACCAACUUAGUGAAUA
rnacentral:lncRNA from 1 species